UCCGGUUUGGCACCGGCAGUCUCCAAUGAGUCCCCGGCAUUACCCGCUGGCAACAUUGGACAGGGGUUGCGCUCGUUGCGCCACUUAAGGCAACACCUCACGGCACGAGCUGACGACAGCCAUGCAGCAUCUGUGCACAGGCCCCGAAGGGCUGCCGGGUUUCCCCGACAUUCCUGUGCAUGUCAAGCCUUGGUAAGGUUCUGCGCGUUGCGUCGAAUUAAACCACACGCUCCGCUGCUUGUGCGGGCCCCCGUCAAUUCCUUUGAGGUUUAGCCUUGCGGCCGUACUCCCCAGGCGGGGCACUUAAUGCGUUAGCUACGGCACCGCAGGGGUCGCUCCCCCCGGCACCUAGUGCCCAUCGUUUACGGCGUGGACUAC
rnacentral:misc_RNA from 1 species